CUAUACAUGCAGUCGAGCGGACAGAUGGGAGCUUGCUCCCUGAUGUUAGCGGCGGACGGGUGAGUAACACGUGGGUAACCUGCCUGUAAGACUGGGAUAACUCCGGGAAACCGGGGCUAAUACCGGAUGGUUGUCUGAACCGCAUGGUUCAGACAUAAAAGGUGGCUUCGGCUACCACUUACAGAUGGACCCGCGGCGCAUUAGCUAGUUGGUGAGGUAACGGCUCACCAAGGCGACGAUGCGUAGCCGACCUGAGAGGGUGAUCGGCCACACUGGGACUGAGACACGGCCCAGACUCCUACGGGAGGCAGCAGUAGGGAAUCUUCCGCAAUGGACGAAAGUCUGACGGAGCAACGCCGCGUGAGUGAUGAAGGUUUUCGGAUCGUAAAGCUCUGUUGUUAGGGAAGAACAAGUGCCGUUCAAAUAGGGCGGCACCUUGACGGUACCUAACCAGAAAGCCACGGCUAACUACGUGCCAGCAGCCGCGGUAAUACGUAGGUGGCAAGCGUUGUCCGGAAUUAUUGGGCGUAAAGGGCUCGCAGGCGGUUUCUUAAGUCUGAUGUGAAAGCCCCCGGCUCAACCGGGGAGGGUCAUUGGAAACUGGGGAACUUGAGUGCAGAAGAGGAGAGUGGAAUUCCACGUGUAGCGGUGAAAUGCGUAGAGAUGUGGAGGAACACCAGUGGCGAAGGCGACUCUCUGGUCUGUAACUGACGCUGAGGAGCGAAAGCGUGGGGAGCGAACAGGAUUAGAUACCCUGGUAGUCCACGCCGUAAACGAUGAGUGCUAAGUGUUAGGGGGUUUCCGCCCCUUAGUGCUGCAGCUAACGCAUUAAGCACUCCGCCUGGGGAGUACGGUCGCAAGACUGAAACUCAAAGGAAUUGACGGGGGCCCGCACAAGCGGUGGAGCAUGUGGUUUAAUUCGAAGCAACGCGAAGAACCUUACCAGGUCUUGACAUCCUCUGACAAUCCUAGAGAUAGGACGUCCCCUUCGGGGGCAGAAUGACAGGUGGUGCAUGGUUGUCGUCACCUCCUGUCCUGAGAAGUUUGGGUUAAAUCCCGCAAC
rnacentral:rRNA from 1 species